rnacentral:sRNA from 1 species
AACAGAAUCAAAAUAAUAAUGAGUCGC